GAUCCCUUAGCUCAGCGGUAGAGCGUGAGAUUCCAGUCCUCAAGGUCGUCCGUUCAAUCCGGGCAGGGAUCA
rfam:Lentinula edodes NBRC 111202 DNA, contig: scaffold287.